UCACAAACACAACCAAACUUUAUCCUCCUCUUUUUUCUGCGUUCUGUGAGUCUCUAACCUCUGUCUCUCCUCUCUUCUCCUCAAUUCUCAUCGAUCAGUCGACCUCAGUACCUCUCUAUCCAGCCACUCAGAUUACAAAGGUCUAGGUCAGUAGGCCAUCAAGCAAUUUUGUGGGAUUCUGGAAUUGAGAAAUUGGAGAAGUCGAGCAGUGAACAAACUCAGAGUCACAGACUAUGAUUUGAGUUCAAGGAAUCAGUUUGCAGGUAAGAAGGCAAGGAGAUGGAUUUUCAAAUGAAUAUCAAUCAACACUGCUAGAAUGUGUUAUUUUGAGGGUUUCAGAUCAAAGCAUCUUUUUGCUCAUCUAAUGAUAUAUAUUGAUCAUGGUUAUUUGAUUUUACAUUGUGUGUUUGUUCAAGUAUAA
rnacentral:lncRNA from 1 species